CNNCGAGGAUUGCAUUUUAAACUAUCAAGCUAGAGUACAGGAGAGGAAAGCGGAAUUCCUAGUGUAGCGGUGAAAUGCGUAGAUAUUAGGAAGAACACCAGUGGCGAAGGCGGCUUUCUGGACUGAAACUGACGCUGAGGCUCGAAAGCGUGGGGAGCGAACAGGAUUAGAUACCCUGGUAGUCCACGCUGUAAACGAUGAGUGCUAGGUGUCGGGGAGGAAUCCUCGGUGCCGCAGUUAACACAAUAAGCACUCCACCUGGGGAGUACGACCGCAAGGUUGAAACUCAAAGGAAUUGACGGGGGCCCGCACAAGCGGUGGAGCAUGUGGUUUAAUUCGAAGCAACGCGAAGAACCUUACCAAGGCUUGACAUCCCGCUGACGCAUACAGAGAUGUAUGUUUUCUUCGGAACAGCGGAGACAGGUGGUGCAUGGUUGUCGUCAGCUCGUGUCGUGAGAUGUUGGGUUAAGUCCCGCAACGAGCGCAACCCUUAUCUUCAGUAGCCAUCAGGUAGAGCUGGGCACUCUGGAGAGACUGCCGUGGAUAACACGGAGGAAGGUGGGGAUGACGUCAAAUCAUCAUGCCCCUUAUGUCUUGGGCUACACACGUGCUACAAUGGCGUAAACAAAGGGAGGCAAUACUGCGAAGUUGAGCAAAUCCCAAAAAUAACGUCUCAGUUCGGAUUGUAGUCUGCAACUCGACUACAUGAAGCUGGAAUCGCUAGUAAUCGCGAAUCAGAAUGUCGCGGUGAAUACGUUCCCGGGUCUUGUACACACCGCCCGUCACACCAUGGGAGUCAGUAACGCCCGAAGUCAGUGACCCAACCGCAAGGAGGGAGCUGCCGAAGGCGGGACCGAUAACUGGGGUGAAGUCGUAACAAGGUAACCA
rnacentral:rRNA from 1 species